AAAAAAAAAAAAAAAAGAUAAAAGGGAAAAAAAAUUUGGCCCGUAGACAUCUCUUCAGUAAAUUUUAACAAAAUCUGCAAAUAACAAUCACCACCUCUUUCCCUUUUGCAAUGCCCUUGUUAGUAGUCAGCCUCAUCUGUACAUUGCUGCUAUAAGGGCAUGCAAACCCAAGUCUUAGCAGCACCAUCUGGUUCAGGAACAGCUCAAUCUGUUAGAUUGCUUCAUUCCAGCUGAGAAUUGGGAGACCUGAUAUAAAUACUUCCUUGUGCUGAUUGAAGA
rnacentral:misc_RNA from 1 species